rnacentral:rRNA from 1 species
AGUGAACGCUGGCGGCAGGCCUAACACAUGCAAGUCGAACGGUAGCACAGAGCAGCUUGCUGCUUUGCUGGCGAGUGGCGGACGGGUGAGUAAUGUAUGGGAAACUGCCUGAUGGAGGGGGAUAACUACUGGAAACGGUAGCUAAUACCGCAUACCGUCGCAAGGCCAAAGAGGGGGACCUUAAGGCCUCUUGCGAUUGGAUGUGCCCAGAUGGGAUUAGCUAGUAGGUGGGGUAACGGCUCACCAAGGCGACGAUCCCUAGCUGGUCUGAGAGGAUGACCAGCCACACUGGAACUGAGACACGGUCCAGACUCCUACGGGAGGCAGCAGUGGGGAAUAUUGGACAAUGGGCGCAAGCCUGAUGCAGCCAUGCCGCGUGUAUGAAGAAGGCCUUCGGGUUGUAAAGCACUUUUGUUGGGGAGGAAGGGAGUCAAGUUAAUACCUUGGCUGAUUGACGUUACCCGAAGAAGAAGCACCGGCUAACUUCGUG